UACGGAGGGUGCAAGCGUUAUCCGGAUUCACUGGGUUUAAAGGGUGCGUAGGUGGGUCUGUAAGUCCGUGGUGAAAUCUCCGAGCUUAACUUGGAAACUGCCAUGGAUACUAUAGGUCUUGAAUACUGUGGAGGUCAGCGGAAUAUGUCAUGUAGCGGUGAAAUGCUUAGAUAUGACAUAGAACACCAAUUGCGAAGGCAGCUGGCUACACGAAUAUUGACACUGAUGCACGAAAGCGUGGGGAUCAAACAGG
rnacentral:rRNA from 1 species